CAGGAAGGGAGUGUGUAGUGGGGGAUGGUUUGGGGAUGAUACUGUUCCACCUCAUAUCAUCAUGCAUUAAUUAGAUUCUCAUAAGGAGUGUGCAACCUAGAUCCCUAGCACACAUUGGGGAGAGGGGGAUGGUUGUCUCAA